CGGGAGUACUUCGACAAGCUGUUCAAUGGGGAGAAUGAGAGUUCUACCAUUGAACUGAAUGACUCCUUUGAUGAGACCAUCAUGCGUUUUGUGCGGCGCAUCCAGGAGUCUGAGGUGAAGGAGGCUUUAAAAAGGAUGAAAGGAGGCAAGGCGAUGGGCCCUGAUUGUAUCCCCAUUGAGGUGUGGAAAGGUCUCGGGGACAUAGCGAUAGUAUGGCUAACCAAGCUUUUCAACCUCAUUUUUCGGGCAAACAAGAUGCCAGAAGAAUGGAGACGGAGUAUAUUAGUACCAAUCUUCAAGAACAAGGGGGAUGUUCAGAGUUGUACUAAUUACCGUGGAAUUAAGCUGAUGAGCCAUACAAUGAAGCUAUGGGAGAGAGUCAUUGAGCACCGCUUAAGAAGAAUGACACGCGUGACCAAAAAUCAGUUUGGUUUCAUGCCUGGGAGGUCGACCAUGGAAGCCAUUUUCUUGGUACGACAACUUAUGGAGAGAUAUAGGGAGCAUAAGAAGGACUUGCAUAUGGUGUUCAUUGACUUGGAGAAGGCCUAUGAUAAGAUACUGCGGAAUGUCAUGUGGUGGGCCUUGGAGAAACACAAAGUCCCAGCAAAGUACAUUACCCUCAUCAAGGACAUGUACAAUAAUGUU
rnacentral:rRNA from 1 species